rnacentral:rRNA from 1 species
GACGAACGCUGGCGGCGUGCUUAACACAUGCAAGUCGAACGGAAAGGCCCUGCUUUUGUGGGGUGCUCGAGUGGCGAACGGGUGAGUAACACGUGAGUAACCUGCCCUUGACUUUGGGAUAACUUCAGGAAACUGGGGCUAAUACCGGAUAGGAGCUCCUGCUGCAUGGGGGGGGUUGGAAAGUUUCGGCGGUUGGGGAUGGACUCGCGGCUUAUCAGCUUGUUGGUGGGGUAGUGGCUUACCAAGGCUUUGACGGGUAGCCGGCCUGAGAGGGUGACCGGCCACAUUGGGACUGAGAUACGGCCCAGACUCCUACGGGAGGCAGCAGUGGGGAAUAUUGCACAAUGGGCGGAAGCCUGAUGCAGCAACGCCGCGUGCGGGAUGACGGCCUUCGGUUUGUAAACCGCUUUCGCCUGUGACGAAGCGUGAGUGACGGUAAUGGGUAAAGAAGCACCGGCUAACUACGUG